GUCUGGGCAUACACUCCCUUGGUGAAGUUUGACAGAAGGAAAGUUAUGAAGCUGUAGAAGUAGAUCCUUCUUGAUCAUUUACAAGUAACUAAAUAUAAAUUACAUUAUAUUUUUAAAUACAUAUCCUCUUUUUAUUUAUUUUAUAUUUAAUUUGAUAAUUACUUAAUUUUUAUUUUUUAAAUUUUAUAUGUUGUACAUUAUUUGUGCAGUAUGACUUUGAUAUCAAGGAGAUCGAUACCUUGCGCAUGCUGGCAGCUAUCCUUAAGCAUAUGGGGAGGUUGCUUAAGGGGUUUAGGUUUGAGCUCCAUAGCCAUUGGAAGAAGGUCUCCAACGCAUGUGGGGCGGUGGCGACACGUGAGACACCCAACAAGAAUGUUUCAUGC
rnacentral:lncRNA from 1 species